rnacentral:sRNA from 1 species
AGUGAAUUUGCGUAAAGACAGAGAUAAAUACUGACUUUCAUUCGAAGGUAGUAUUACCACUAAUGGGGUAAGGGUUAUUGUUCGACGUCAAGCAGGCAUAAAAAAAGCGCCCGCAGGCGCUUUUUU